rnacentral:tRNA from 1 species
UGUCUCGUAGCCUAGUGGUCAGAGCAUAGGCGCGUAAAACCAAAGGUCUCGGGUUCUAUUCCCGACGAGGCUG